rnacentral:rRNA from 1 species
UACGUAGGGUGCAGGCGUUAAUCGGAAUUACUGGGCGUAAAGCGUGCGCAGGCGGUUUGCUAAGACAGGUGUGAAAUCCCCGGGCUUAACCUGGGAACUGCGCUUGUAACUGGCAAGCUAGAGUGUGGCAGAGGGGGGUGGAAUUCCACGUGUAGCAGUGAAAUGCGUAGAGAUGUGGAGGAACACCGAUGGCGAAGGCAGCCCCCUGGGCUAACACUGACGCUCAUGCACGAAAGCGUGGGAGCAAACAGG